rnacentral:rRNA from 1 species
GACGUAGGGCGCGAGCGUUGUCCGGAUUUAUUGGGCGUAAAGAGCUCGUAGGCGGCUUGUCGCGUCGGUCGUGAAAGCCUGUGGCUCAACUACAGGCUUGCGGUCGAUACGGGCAGGCUGGAGUUCGGUAGGGGAGAGUGGAAUUCCUGGUGUAGCGGUGAAAUGCGCAGAUAUCAGGAGGAACACCGGUGGCGAAGGCGGGUCUCUGGGCCGAUACUGACGCUGAGGAGCGAAAGCAUGGGGAGCGAACAGG